rnacentral:rRNA from 2 species
GUUUGAUCCUGGCUCAGAACGAACGCUGGCGGCAGGCUUAACACAUGCAAGUCGAGCGCCCCGCAAGGGGAGCGGCAGACGGGUGAGUAACGCGUGGGAACGUACCUUUUGCUACGGAAUAACUCAGGGAAACUUGUGCUAAUACCGUAUGUGCCCUUCGGGGGAAAGAUUUAUCGGCAAAGGAUCGGCCCGCGUUGGAUUAGCUAGUUGGUGAGGUAAAGGCUCACCAAGGCGACGAUCCAUAGCUGGUCUGAGAGGAUGAUCAGCCACACUGGGACUGAGACACGGCCCAGACUCCUACGGGAGGCAGCAGUGGGGAAUAUUGGACAAUGGGCGCAAGCCUGAUCCAGCC